rnacentral:rRNA from 1 species
GAGUUUGAUCGUGGCUCAGAUUGAACGCUGGCGGUAUGCUUAACACAUGCAAGUCGAACGGUAACAGGCUAGCUUGCUAGCGCUGACGAGUGGCGGACGGGUGCGUAACGCGUAGGAAUCUGCCUAUUAGUGGGGGACAACCUGGUGAAAACCAGGCUAAUACCGCAUACGCCCUACGGGGGAAAGCAGGGGGAUCUUCGGACCUUGCGCUAAUAGAUGAGCCUGCGUUAGAUUAGCUUGUUGGUGAGGUAAUGGCUCACCAAGGCGACGAUCUAUAGCUGGUCUGAGAGGACGAUCAGCCACACUGGGACUGAGACACGGCCCAGACUCCUACGGGAGGACAGCAGUGGGGAAUAUUGGACAAUGGGCGGAAGCCUGAUCCAGCAAUACCGCGUGUGUGAAGAAGGCCUGA